rnacentral:rRNA from 1 species
AAAAACAUCGCUUCUCGAAAUAACGAUGAGAAGUCCAGCCUGCCCAGUGAUCAAUUAAACGGCCGCGGUACCCUGACCGUGCAAAGGUAGCGCAAUCACCUGUUCUUUAAAUAAGGACUAGUAUGAAUGGCACCACGAGGGUUACACUGUCUCCCCUUUUUAAUCAGUGAAACUGAUCUUCCCGUGAAGAAGCGGGAAUAUACAUAUAAGACGAGAAGACCCCAUGAAGCUUUAAAUUCAGAAUCAACUGCUAACAAUCAUAUCAUUCUAACAAAACAGACCUGACUUCUGACUUUCGGUUGGGGUGACCGCGGAGAAAAACAAAUCCUCCACGAUGAAAGGAACUUACUCCUUAUCCAAGAACUACAACUCUAAGAAUCAAUAAUCUGACAAAAUUGACCCAAAUUACUUUGAUCAACGAACCAAGUUACUCUGGGGAUAACAGCGCAAUCUAUUUCAAGAGCCCAUAUCGACAAAUAGGUUUACGACCUCGAUGUUGGAUCAGGGCAUCCAAGUGGCGCAACCGCUACUAACGGUUCGUUUGUUCAACGAUUAAAGCCCUACGUGAUCUGAG